CAUCCCCCGCCCCUUUUUGGCGCAUGUGCCGCAGUCGACGCCACCGUCGCUGCCUCUUUUAUCGAUUGACCCAAUUUGCGGGCAUAAAGUAGUUGAGCGCUUUUUUAUAUCACCCACCCAACUCAAACCAACCCAACCACCCACCGAAUUGCGGCAUUCGGAGUGUGUGUGUGUGUGUGUGUGUAAUGUGUAGCCACCCCUGCAGAUUCCAAUGGUUUCCUUGUCCUUUCAACGUCCUUUCCUUUCCACUCGGGAAAACACACACAUUCCAACGGUUGGCUUACUGAGAGAACUAUUUUUACUGUAACGGACCUAAGAAUAAAACUAUCGACUUAUUAACUAGUACUAGUUCUGUUACUGCUUAGGUCUACAAUUUUAAGCUAUCUUAGAGACUGGAAAACUAUUUCCCAAUCUCUGUUUAACAGAGAACCACAUAGAAGUGGCCCCAAUUUCUCAUCUAGCGCGUUUAUCUUCGGUCCGAGUUCCGUCCAUAAAACUCCACUGAAAGAUAAACAAGAAGAACGCCCAUUGCAGCGUUUUGGCCUAGAAAAGAAACCAAAUGGGGGGCCAAGAAAGAGAAAACAAUGAGCGAAGCAUGCAGAAUGGAGAAUGGAGAAUGGAGAAUGGAGAACUGGGCGGCAAGUAGUAGACUUUUGAUCGGGCCACGAAGAAGCGACAACAAAGCGCUUGUUUGAUUAUGCUGGCCAAGCAUAAAACCCCCUAUGUACAAACGAAUGCCGCAGAUACAAAACACAAAUACAAAAUACAGAUGUACAUACACACACGACACGUGUAAUUGACCUACUUUCCCCACUCGAAAAGUGUAUCUGUGUGAGUUGCCUGUCCAGCUAUUUGGAUGCCAUAGAAAAAGUGGCGGAAAAAACAAGAAGAAAGAAGAGUGGUACGAGCGAGCAGAAGAGGCGGCUGAAAAAGCACAAAAACCUAGAUAAGAUAAACGAAACAAGUACAGCAUUACUCACCGAAAGUCACUGCGAUGUGUGCACAUAUGUACAAGAACCCCGAUCGUGUGUAAUAAACCAGAAUUUGUGUAAUUAAAGCAGGAAAAAUGUAAAAAGUAUCUUACAGAUACGAAGUACAUAGGAGCUUUUGCCGCUAGCAAAGCUCUCAGAUACGCUCUGACCACAAUUGAAAUAGUUUGUCGCCCUGUCGCCAGCCACUUUUGUAGCCAUGUGGCUGGCGACCUAUUUACUGCGGCGUAUCCAUCAGAUACAUGCACAGAACAAUUGGAAACACAGAAAAAAGUAAGUAGGAGAUUAAGGGGUUUCCGAGAGAUCUAUUGGAAUGCGCUGGCUGCGGAAUCGAACAAUGCUGAAAAUGUAAAAGGCGAGAAUGCAAAAAAUCGCCGCCCCCAUGUAGGUGGUGGCUAAAAUGUUAAACGGAGCCCCAAAAGGCAAUUACACGCUAUCUGUUGGGACCUGCAGAUAGUUUUGUUUGCUCUCCGGCGCGACACUGAUAAAGGCAAUUAGCAGCGAACAUGUGCGACGAAACUGGAGAGUCGAAAAGACCAGAAAGUCUGACUAAAAACAAAAACACUGAAAGCGCAGCACUAAGCGAGCAACUUAAUUAAUUAGUUUCGAGCGAAACGCCCCUUUGCCAUUCGCGUAUCUUCAGCAUACAGAAACCAAAAAGAAAAAUCAGCUAAAACUGAAACGUAUCUCUAACAAACGUGUGCAAUAUCUUGGCCAGCAGGCUAUCAGGAUUCUAAUUUCUAGAGUAAGAAACAUUUAAGACAUUUUCUCCAUUGGUACACUAUUGGUUUUAUAGUCCGUAGCAUUAAUCGAUAACUUUCUAGUCACAAAAUAUUUUGACUUGAUUAAUAACCAGCAUUUCAUCAUCAGUACAUCAGAUACAUCAUCGAAACCUAUAUUGUCCAAAGCCCAGCCAUAUUUCUGCGCAGUGCAAAACACACUUUGGCUGUACUUAGCAGUUAGUCAGCAAAUCGCUGGCCGCGCUUGCCGUGUUUGCCGAUUGUUAACACGCCGUCGCUCAGCUAUUUUCGCCGCUGAUGUAAUCAGUUUUUUUCAGCUACAGCUGAACGGAACAGAACCCUCCUUCAAGACAAGAAAAACAGGCCAUGUAACCAAAAUUCAGUUUCGAUUUAGUUUCGUCAGUCGGCGGAUCGCGU